rnacentral:rRNA from 1 species
UACGUAGGUGGCAAGCGUUACUCGGAAUCACUAGGCGUAAAGCGCAGGUAGGCGGUUUGAUAAGUCUGUUGUGAAAGCUCCCGGCUUAACUGGGAGAGGUCAACGGAAACUGUCAGGCUAGAGUGUGGUAGAGGUAGCUGGAAUUCCCGGUGUAGCGGUGAAAUGCGCAGAUAUCAGGAGGAACACCGGUGGCGAAGGCGGGUCUCUGGGCAGUAACUGACGCUGAGGAGCGAAAGCGUGGGGAGCGAACAGG